UCUUCAUUUUCCGCACUCUCUCACCGGUCAGAGAGGCGAGAGAGAGAGUGUGCGAAAUGAAGAGA
rfam:Pristionchus pacificus strain PS312 contig2286, whole genome shotgun sequence.